UACGAAGGGGGCUAGCGUUGUUCGGAAUUACUGGGCGUAAAGGGCGCGCAGGCGGCCCUCCAAGUCAGGCGUGAAAGCCCCGGGCUCAACCCGGGAAUAGCGCUUGAGACUGGGGGGCUUGAGUUCGGGAGAGGAGAGUGGAAUUCCCAGUGUAGAGGUGAAAUUCGUAGAUAUUGGGAAGAACACCGGUGGCGAAGGCGGCUCUCUGGGCCGACACUGACGCUGAGGCGCGAAAGCGUGGGGAGCAAACAGG
rnacentral:rRNA from 1 species